rnacentral:rRNA from 1 species
AUUGAACGCUGGCGGCAGGCCUAACACAUGCAAGUCGAACGAGUGGCGGACGGGUGAGUAAUGUCUGGGAAACUGCCCGAUGGAGGGGGAUAACUACUGGAAACGGUAGCUAAUACCGCCUACCAUCGGAUGUGCCCAGAUGGGAUUAGCUUGUAGGUGAGGUAACGGCUCACCUAGGCGCCGAUCCCUAGCUGGUCUGAGAGGAUGACGAGACACGCUGGAACGGAGACACGGUCCAGACUCCUACGGGGGGAAGAAGUGGGGAAUAUUGCACAAUGGGGGCAAGCCUGAGGCAGCCAUGCGGGGUGUAUGAAGAAGGCCUUCGGGUUGUAAAGUACUUUCAGCGGGGAGGCGUUACCCGCAGAGGAAGCACCGGCUAACUCCGUGCCAGCAGCCGCGGUAAUAC